CCCCAAUCCGAAUGGUGUUGGGCGGCCUCUUUUAACGUAUAUGCUAAUGAAGCUUGGUUGUCUGCCUGCCUGUGUCACCAAGCUACCUGCUUGCUUCCGGUCAGCCCAACCUCACGCUGAGACAAGAGACUUCACAGUGGGUUUUCCUUAGGCGAUUCCCCCAAAGCUACUUGUCACCGCUCUUCCAUCCCCCUUUUGCUGCCACCACUCUUUCAUUGUGGCUGAGAACCUCUUUUUUUCCUAUCCAAACACCCCUUAAGGUAUUACGUUUUCGACGCCCCUCAGCCCCUCACUUCUCUUCUAUCUAUUGUAAUUAUAUCUAUUUUGGAACUCAAUUUUAUAUUUUUUUAGGUCUUUAAUCUUGAUCUUUUCGGAUUUACAAAAUCGUACAUUGAAUUUAUUGAUAAUGUUUCUUGAUUGCAUUUUCUACUCUAUGAAUUUGUAGAUGGUAAUGGAAUAACAAUCGUUCUUCUACCUCAUUUGCCCUACUUCAUCUCGGUACGACUGGAGACGGACGUCCAGGACAACUGACGUCGCAGUUGCUUCUCUUUCCCAAUCGUAAUUUAUUUCUGGUCGCAAAGAUUGUAUACGAUAAAAUUGGUUUAUUGCUUUUGUAUCUUCUACACCCCUCCUUGUGUGAACUAUAAUUAUUUAACAAGUUUUAAGCUUAUGAAGAGGAUCAUGCUUGAGUGAGUUGUACACUUAAAAUACAUGCAUACAAGUAAUUACGACUUCAUUAGAAGAUGAAUCAUCGUUCUGCCUUUCUCUUUUGACGACUUCUAUGCUUUGUUUCAACAUCGAUUCGACCUAUCUUGCCAAUUAAAAUAGAAGAUUUAGUGAUCGAACCAGGUAAAGGCCUUGUACCCUAAUUUUAUUCCUUCCUACCACAUUUCUACCACCAUUGAUAUCCCUUCUCUCCCCUCAUUCCCAAUAAAAACGAUCCCUAAACGAAAGCGUUUUCCAAAAAUAGGGCAUAUGUCUCCACUUCACUAACAAUUUUCCACAAAUGAAUGUCUUAUUUUGGUUUAAACAGAUUCUUGAACAGGCUGAGAUUAGAAAAUAGUUAUCAGUAGUUUUAAUUAUAUUAAUUUCCAUCUGUUUUACAGCUAUGUUGCUUUAAAUUAGAGGCAGCUGAUCCAUCCUCUCCCCAGACGGAAGCACUUUUAUGGGUCUCCUUAUUAUCGGAAGACACAGCCCCACCACACGAUGAUGAAGCAACGAAGAUAGUUAAAAAGGUUUAUGCCAAACUUAAAGGUUUUUUUACCUCAAAGAAGAGCGAAAGAUUUGUAAUUGUAACAGGUUCUGGAAAUUGGAUAUGCAUGAACCUGAAACAACUUUCUGGCAAGAUUUGGAAUCUGAAAUGACAGAGUCCUGAUAAGAAAUUUUGCAGAUUAGACCUUUUGGAACAGAUGUGUGCACCAACUCAAACGUACGUUGACCUGUUAAUUUGGGAGGUUCAUUUAGUGCCUUCAAAUUCAAAUCCUACCGAGUUGAUUCUAUAGAGGAACUAAAUUGUAAAUUUUAUAUGGAUUAUAUAAAAUUUUGAAUUUUAGCUUGGGUCCUUUUAGCUUUGGUCUGUAUGUGAUUUUAAAGAUGGCUUGGCUGAUUCGGUUAUCAAAACUCAAAAACUAUGGUCAAAACCAAACCCCGCGGAGUGUAGACAAUAGCAACAUACUUUACUGGUCUUAACCAAACCCUGCGGAGCGGGGUUUCCCAGCUAGUUUUCUUUAUAAAAUAGAUGCUUGUAAAGUUAUUUAAUCAAUUAAACAGU